rnacentral:lncRNA from 10 species
GGCAAUGCUUCCACACAGGACAUAGUUCAGAAGGCAUUAGAAGGCAUAGAGUAAAAAGAUGCAUUCCUUUGAUUGAAUUUAAAGUCAAGCUUGUGCUUCUGGAUGGCUGCUUUGUCAGUGAACACUUGGAUUUGGAAAAUACAGCACCUGGGUUGGUUUUGAGAGAAAAUGGUUUCAACUUUAUAAUUACAGUUUUAACCACCACAACAACAAAAUUAGGAUGGUAGUGAAAUGGAACUAAAUCAAAUGCAAGGUUUUAGUUUAAUAGAACAAUGUCAUCCUUUAAUAAUCUUUAAAGAAGAACAACUAAAUAACCAAUAACAAAAUUGAAAUAGGUCAACUUUUAUCUAAAUUCCAUAGAAUCUAUAUACUCUAUUGUCCAGUUGAAGGAAAGGCUGCUGUUAUACCUUAACAGUUGUUAUUAAAAUUUUGAAGUUAUUUAAUGGUCUUUUAAAAUUUAUUUUAAGUAGUGUGAUUUUAACGUAUAGAGAAAAUAUUCACACUUUGUAUAGUUCCUAAGAGAUGAUUAAACAGGUAGAAAUAAAAAAUAGGAAAUAAAAUGAAAUAUAGAGCAUAAUUUCUACCACAAAUCUUUUUCCUUAAAACUAUCUCUGUCCUGGCCACAUAGAAAAUUAUUAUAAUCAUACAAUGCAAAAGUGAUCUCUAGCUAGUUAAAAAAUAGAAUAUGAUAGGGCUAACUUCUUUGAAAAUGUAAAUAUUAAUAUUACUCAAAACAGGUUAUUCUAGGGCUAGACUUUAGUAAUUCAUUUCCAUUUUGGACAAAUGUUUUACUUUGUCUUAAAUCCAUUUGAGGUUCUUGUUGUGCAUAAGUGGUUGGUUGGAUUUUUAGGGUUCCUGAGAGGAAAGGGUUGAGGAAUAUAAAAUUCACAUUUGUACUUUUGGUAGUGGUAUAGGAAAUAAACCUUUAGAGAAAGGGGGAAUUCUUUGUCAAAUAGCAAUUGGAAUAUAAAUAUGAUUAUAAACAUAUUGGUGGAAAAAUCAUCUUUCUUAUAAGUGGAAUUAAGAGCAUAUUGUUGGAUGGUAUGACAGAAGCAAACUCCUCCCACAGAAUAGUAGAGGCUUAUGAAUAGGCAGGGGUAGUCAUAAAAGGAAACAAUAUCUUAGUUUAAGGCAUUUAAUUGCAAAAGGAGAACACAAGUGUGGAAUACACUAAAGACCUCUGAUUCCCAGUGUUCUUAAAUAGCAAAAGAAACUCUAGAACUUUGCCUCUAAGGUAUUACAAGAACUUUGUCAAGUUGCACAUGAGAAAAUAGAGCCCAUAGCCAUAUAGUAAGCAAAAAAAUUCUGUUUGAGUAUUGACAUGACAGUUUUUGAAAGUUCAAGCAGAAAACCAAUUAUAAUGAGCACUGGAAAGCCCGGAGCCCUGCUGUUCAAUAAAUAAAAAGUACAACAAACUAUUUUCCAAAAAGGUUCUAGAGAGUUUCUUCUUGUCCCACUACUUACAAUCUGAUUACAUAAAUAGUCUCUAUUUGCUGUUGAAUUGCCAGGCAGCUGUAUUAAAGUACAAAUCAAAUCAAGUCAGGAUUAGAAAGUAAAAGAGCAUGGUUUAAAGUAAUCUAUCCCCCAGGAACUGUGCUCAGAUUCAUCAAACAGAGCUUAAAGUACAGUAUAUCUUAUACCCUUGUGUUUCCAUGCUGCAUUGCUGCAAAACCAGUUAUUAUUUUUGAUAUCCAGAAAAUGUUGCUUGUUGCUUGAAGAAGGCUCACUUGCUUAUUUAAAGGUACUAUUCAUAUGUGCCACUUAUUUAUUACUUCUUUUGGUUAAGAUUCAUGGGGAGGACAUAAGUACUAAAGACUAGUAGGCUUUUUAUUGAUCAUAUCCUAUCUGGCUUAGCUGUGAACUGUCAUGAAUAUUUCUUAUAGAUAGAAUGACUAAUUUAUUCCAGAUUUUAGGUAAUAUACAAUAUGAUGGUAUUAAAGAAAAGCUAUAGGUCUUUAGAUGCUAUUGGCUAAUAAAGUAUUAUGUAUACCUGCCCUUAUAAAUCCUGCUCCAUCUAAUUAUGACCGAAAAAAAACGAUUUAAUCAUUUCAACUUGUAAUUGUUUUUGAUGAAAAGCUCUAUACGUAGUUGUCAAU